UACGUAGGGGGCGAGCGUUGUCCGGAUUCAUUGGGCGUAAAGAGCUCGUAGGCGGUUCAUUAAGUCGGGUGUGAAAUCUCCGUGCUCAACACGGAGCGGCCACCUGAUACUGCUGUGACUCGAGUCCGGUAGGGGAGUGUGGAAUUCCCGGUGUAGCGGUGAAAUGCGCAGAUAUCGGGAGGAACACCUGCGGUGUAGACGGCUUUCUGGACCAUUGCUGACGCUGAGACACGAAAGCGUGGGUAGCAAACAGG
rnacentral:rRNA from 1 species